rnacentral:misc_RNA from 1 species
CAACGCGCAGAACCUUACCCACGUUUGACAUGUCUAGUUUGGUCGGCAGAGAUGCCUUCCUUCAGUUCGGCUGGCUAGAACACAGGUGCUGCAUGGCUGUCGUCAGCUCGUGUCGUGAGAUGUUGGGUUAAGUCCCGCAACGAGCGCAACCCUCGCUACUAGUUGCCAUCAGGUUAAGCUGGGCACUCUAGUGGAACUGCCGGUGGCAAGCCGGAGGAAGGUGGGGAUGACGUCAGCCUAUCGAGA